UACGUAGGGUGCAAGCGUUGUCCGGAAUUAUUGGGCGUAAAGAGCUCGUAGGCGGUUUGUCACGUCGGCUGUGAAAACCCGAGGCUCAACCUCGGGCCUGCAGUCGAUACGGGCAGACUAGAGUAUGGCAGGGGAGACUGGAAUUCCUGGUGUAGCGGUGAAAUGCGCAGAUAUCAGGAGGAACACCGGUGGCGAAGGCGGGUCUCUGGGCCGAUACUGACGCUGAGGAGCGAAAGCGUGGGGAGCGAACAGG
rnacentral:rRNA from 1 species